rnacentral:rRNA from 1 species
GAUGAACGCUGGCGGCGUGCCUAAUACAUGCAAGUCGAACGGACAGGCGCUGCUCUUGCUGCUCUGACGUUUGCGGCGGGCGUGAGAGUAACACGUGUAAACUCUCCUUAUAAUACGGGUAUAUCUUCGGGAAACCGGAUAUAAUACCGUAUAAUAUCUUGCACCGCGGUGUUCAUUGGUGAGAUUCGGUUUUGCUGGCUCUUAUCGCUGGUUCUGCGCUGCAUUAGCUAGUUGGUGAGGUAACGGCUUACCAAGGGUAGGAUGCGUAACCGACCUGAGGGAGUGAUAGGCCACACUGGAACUGGGACACGGUCCAGACUCCUACGGGAGGCAGCAGUAGGCAAUGUUCCGCAAUAGGCGAAAGCCUGACGGAGCAACGCGGCGUGAGUGAUGAAGGUCUUCGGAGCGUAAAACUCGGUUAUGAGGGAAGAACAAAUGUGUAAGUAGCUAUGCACGGCGUGACGGUACCUGAUCAGAAAGCCACGGCUAACUACGUG